AUUGAACGCUGGCGGCAUGCUUUACACAUGCAAGUCGAACGGUAACAGGCCGCAAGGUGCUGACGAGUGGCGAACGGGUGAGUAAUGCAUCGGAACGUGCCCAGUCGUGGGGGAUAACGCAGCGAAAGGUGCGCUAAUAACGCAUACGAACUAUGGAUGAAAGCGGGGGACCGUAAGGCCUCGCGCGAUUGGAGCGGCCGAUGUCAGAUUAGGUAGUUGGUGGGGAAAAGGCUCACCAAGCCAACGUCCUGUAGCUGGUCGGAGAGGACGACCAGCCACACUGGGACUGAGACACGGCCCAGACUCCUACGGGAGGCAGCAGUGGGGAAUUUUGGACAAUGGGCGCAAGCCUGAUCCAGCAAUGCCGCGUGCAGGAAGAAGGCCUUCGGGUUGUAAACUGCUUUUGUACGGAACGAAACGGCUCUGGUUAAUACCUGGGGCUAAUGACGGUACCGUAAGAAUAAGCACCGGCUAACUACGUGCCAGCAGCCGCCGUAAUAC
rnacentral:rRNA from 1 species